GGAGAGAUGGCUGAGUGGUUGAUGGAUUUGGUCUUAAAAACCGAUAUAGUUGAAAAAUUAUCGAGGGUUUGGAUCCCUCUCUCUCUA
rnacentral:tRNA from 1 species